UGGGUUGAUGUUUUGCCAUGGGGUAUAAUAACCCAGCAGUUGGGUUAAAACAACCCAGCAUUGGGUCAAUUUUAACCCAGUGGUGUGUUCUGUCCAAUAUUUACCAAUUGGGUCAAAAAUAACCCAACGCAACCUACGCUAUUGUUCAAAAGUUUAGAAACACUUGCCUGAAAUGUUCUUUUUUUAAGUUUAAAAAUAAAUGUUCACUCUAAAAAAAAUCCUUGGUUGUUUCAACCCAAAUAUGGACAAAUCCAAUGGUUGGGUUAAAUUUAACCCUGUGUUGGGUUUUUGUUACCCAACUAUGGGUUGAAAAAACCCAGCAUUUGUCCUGGACUUGACCUAACUGUUAGGUUUGACCAUAUUUGACUCGCGUACGGGUUAAAAGCACCCAAAAAAAUUUUAGAGUGUAAAGACCAAAAGUAAUUGCGCCAGCAUAUUGAUUUCUUUCAUUAGAAAACUAAAAUUAUAUUUAAAAAAAAAAAUUUAAAUGGGUGAUUGGGACUAUACGGAAGAAAAAGCAGCCAAUACGAGCCAAGAAUAGAUGGAGAUUCCUUUAAUACAUUUUAAAAUGCAUCUCCAUGAAGCUGCUUGAUAAAAUGCCACACUCUAAAAACUUUUGGGUUAUUUUCAACCCAUCACUGGGUCAAAAGGGAUGCAGCCAACCAGUUGGGUUGUUUAACCCAUUGUUGAGUCAAAUAUAAACAUUUUCUGAGUUCAUUUAACCCAAUGGCUGGAUUCGUCACUUUUUGACCAAACACAGGGUUGAAAAUAACCCAGCAUUGAGAGUGAGAGUACAAUUUUUUAAAUUAUGGGCAAAUGGUGACUACUUUAAAUAUGUAGAAUACAACAGUUGUUUUUAGUCACAACAUAACUUAUAUAGUUAAUUUUUGUUAUACCACGGGGCUGUUGAAUGCUUUAUUCUGAUUGGUUGAGAAAUGUUCCAUGGGUGUUGAUUAUUUUUCAAUAACUGCACACCUAACCUUUAAAAUGACUUAAAAAUAGGCACCAGAGCAAUAUUUUUGGUAACCGUGGUAUAAGCGGAAUAAUUAAAUCCGGUCCUUUGAAUUAUUCGAAAAUAAUGCACACCCACGAUGUAACGGCACUCCAUUUUCGCUUCGUGCCGCAUGACCACCUUAGUUUAUAGUUUUAAUGAGUUUACUUUAUUCUUUUUAAAUGUGGAAGAAAAUAUGAAUAAAAAAUGGAUAAGUAGUGUUUUAAAAUAAAAAUCUCACCUGCAUUGGAUAACCAAAGAAAAAUACCUUGAGUAGAUGUGAAAGCUAAAACCAAGAAAGAUCAAUGAGAAGAGAGGGAAAGACUGGCAGAUUUAAUUAAUUACUGCAUAUUAGAAUGUUUGUUUACAAAAGUGAACAGUUACAUGGGGCCUGAUGGUAAUUAAUUUAAAACGUACUUCCCCCUGUCCCUGCCUUGCGUCGACGCUAGUUGUGGUUGUUUCAUGGCAGGUAAGCCUACGUCUCAUUGGAUUUCCAUCAAUUGCUCAAAGGUGUGUUUGAAAACAAAGAUGCAUGGUACGCAAAUUAGCCUGAAUGUUAACAUGAUUGCAUAUUAAGAAAUCUAAUUAGUAUUCGAGGGAAUCAAAAGAGAAGAGCUGAAUGGUGUUACAAUAAUGCAUAUCUAAAAGGUAGAUCCCAUAAGGUAUGUUUUUCCAUUUUCUCCAUCUUAACGAUCCCAAUGUUUUAUCUAUCCUGGCAUGUCCCAAAUUAAAGCUCUUACAAUACAACACAAAAGAGGUUCAUACAUAAACCUAGUUUAUUUUUUAUUUUUACAUAAAUAGACAUAAAAAUCUAUUAAUUCUUUCUGUGCUGAUGACUUUAUUUUCUCAACAGAGACACAGUGGUUGUGUGUGUGUGUUCAGAUAUGGUCAGGAGGUCUCCUGAGGUCCUCCUUCAGGACAAUGAUGUAUUUAAGUCCCCUAUGGGGUCAGAUGGACUCUGUCCAGAACAUCACCUGCAAUCAAUAGUGUUGGUAAACCAGGCUCAACUGAGUGGCCAUGAAGACUCCCCUUAUAAACACGCUCGCAGAGAGGCCUGCAUGGCCCAUUGCUUUGCUAAAACCACAACCAAGAUCCCCGCACGCACACACACAACACAUGCCACCACUCUGAAAACAAGUGUUGAUGACAAAGAGAAGAAAAAUAACAGCACCUCUGCGCUGCAGACUGUAACUUUUGCCUCUCUAUCGCCAUCUCUGUUUGAAACAUAAAAUUGCAGGCAAUUCCUUUGCAUUCAACAUCACUUUGUCAUACCAAAAGUUGUGCAUUCCCCUUAACGCACAGGUGAAUUGGGUGCACUGGUUCAAUCAAGGCUUCACUAUUGAGUUUGAGAGUCAUCUGAGCCUGGGCAACAAAAGCAAACGCUACAACAGCUCUACAGUAAACAAAUGAAGAGGCAAACACUGAUGGUGAUGAUCAUGACAUACAUCAUUGAACCAAAUGGAGUGGAACACCAGCUCAAGGUUUUGUUGGGAUACAUUCUGGAUCUUCCAUGCUUAGAUAUACCUGGUGUCCAUCAAAGGUCUCUCUUGGGUCCGUCCUACAUAACACAAAACAAUAGAAGCAAAAUCAACACGGGUUCAGGCAGGAGACGGGUUGAAAACAAGAGAAAUUGGUUUGGGCCCCCGGGAGCCGAAUCGAUGCGAGUUGCAUGUUUCAAGUCUUCCUGAAUGGGCCCAAGGAGGUUAGCAGCUGUGACAAAAAUCAAAAUCCAUUUUCUGUGGCCAAAUGUAAUGAGGACCAAAUGGUGGAUGUUCCAUUCAUCUCUCCAGCUUGUCUGAGCACUCAGGCCACAGGCAUCAGGCUUGUAAAGGGCAGGUGUAAUAGCUUGGGGGGUGCAUUGUCUUAUGAAGAAGACUGUUAUGGUCAAUGUACAGGCAUGCAUUUUUAAACCCUUUUUAAAAUAGAUGAUUAGGUAUUUUAUGCAUUUAUUUAGUAAGUAAAUUUGAGAAAUUACUAUGCAAUCCAUUUUUUUUCUUUUCAGCUUCAAUAAACUACAAAUAAACUUGCAUUGAAUUGUUAAUGCUGGCAGGCGUCCAUCUAAUCUGGUAUCACAGAACAACCUCUGCUGGUUUCAGGAGUGGGCAGCGGUCACCUGCAAUUGUUUUUGGUCAAAAUAGGGUUUGUUCCACAUACUGAGGAACAACACAUGAAAAUUGCUCCUGGAUUAUGACUGAGAGCCUACCCUGUCCAAUCUUCAGACAGCACACCCACACUAA